CAUCUCUGCUAUCGUUUACUAAAAUAUCGUCAUUGAGCUUUAUGGACCAGCAAUAGGUUGUAAUUUAGGUUGGAUUGGUCGGUCCGACAUCUCUGCUUGAUCAGGAUUCGUUACUAUGCUCCCUCUGCCUCUACAUCAACUCCUACCACCAUGCCCACGUGUUCUGGUAGAUUUUGGUGGCAUGACUGUAUUGUUUCCGAGAAAUCUACGAUUUAAUCAGAAAUAGAAGGAAUUGAACUGUAUUGAUAUGGAA
rnacentral:lncRNA from 1 species